AUGGCGUCGGAUCGGCGGUCCGGAACAACGUUUCGUCCUCCUUCAAGUUUUAGGAUCGGGUCGCCUCCGUCGCCCCCAUUCCAUCAGCAGCGCCCGUUUCGGGGGGCAGUGAGACACCCAUUUGGAGUUCUUGGAGUUGGGGGGUCGGCCCGCCAUGGUGGUCUGCAGCGGGACGAGGAGGCCGGCGGUGUACCGAUGGAGCGGGGGGGUCUUCGCCCCACACACCGACAUCCCCCACGUCCCCGACGUCUACGCGGCCAAACACUUCCGGCUCAGGGGGAACGUCUUCCUGUGUCUCACCAGGUUCCUGGGGGACGCCAAGGUGAUGCGCUGGGAGGGCUCCAUGUUCCGGGAGGUCCAGCAGCUCCCAGUGUGCGGCACAGAGCCGAUUUUGCCCCCCCCCCCCCCAAUUAACAUCCCCCCCCUCCCAAUUAACUUUCCUCCAAUUAACUUUCGCACCCCAUCAUUUCUCCCCUCCAUUAAUCCCCUUAUAACCCCCAGCCAUUAACUUUGCCCCUCCCAAUUAACUUCUGACCCCCCCAUUUAACCUCUGACCCAAUUAAUUUCACUCCCCUCAUUAACACGUACCCCCAAUUAAUUUCACCCCCCACCUCAUCCCUCCCCCCUUAAUCCCCCUAUAAGCCCACAGCCAUUAACUUCGCCCCCUCCCACUUCACUUUUCCCCCCUCCCAAUUAUCUUCAGCCCCCCCCAAUUAAUUUCAACCCCCCAAUAACUUCCCCCACCUCAUCCGUCCCCCCAUUAAUCCCCCUAUAAACCCACAGCCAUUAACUUCACCCCUCCCCAAUUAACUUCUGCCACCCCCCCAAUUAAUUUCACCCCCCCACCUCAUCCCUCCCCCAUUAAUCCCCCUAUAAACCCACAGCCAUUAACUUCGCCCCCUCCCACUUCACUUUUCCCCCUCCCAAUUAACUUCUGCCCCCCAAUUAAUUUCACCCCCCCACCUCAUCCGUCCCCCAAUUAAUCCCCCUAUAAACCUCCAGCCAUUAACUUCGCCCUCCCACUUCACUUCUGCCACCCCCCCCCAAUUAAUUUCACCCCCCAUUAACUUCUACUCCCCCCACCUCAUCCCUCCCCCAUUAAUCCCCCAUAAACCCCCAGCCAAUAACUUCGCCCCCUCCCACUUCACUUCCCCCCCCAAUUAAUUUCCCCCCAUUAAUCCCCCUAUAAACCCACAGCCAUUAACUUCGCCCCCUCCCACUUCACUUUUCCCCCCUCCCAAUUAACUUCAGCCCCCCCCCAAUUGAUUUCACCCCCCCAUUAACUUCUGCCCCCCACCUCAUCCCUCCCCCAUUAAUCCCCCCAUAAACCCCCAGCCAUUAACUUCGCCCCCUCCCACUUCACUUUCCCCGUCUCCCAAUUAACUUCUGCCACCCCCCCAUUAAUGUGUGCCCCCUCCCCCAUUAAUCCCCCUAUAAACCCACAGCCAUUAACUUCUGCCCCCCCCCAAUUAAUUUCAUCCCCCCACCUCAUCCCUCCCCCCAUUAAUCCCCCUAUAAACCCACAGCCAUUUACUUCACCCCCUCCCACUUCACUUUUCCCCCCUCCCAAUCAACUUCUUCCCCCCCCGAUUAAUCCCCCCCCCAAUUAACUCCUGUCCCCCCUCGCCCCCCCAGGCCAACUGCAUCGACUCCACGGCGGCCCCCGAGGCGGUGU
rnacentral:lncRNA from 7 species